GGGGACAGAGUGUAUCUUAAGAUG
rnacentral:siRNA from 1 species